AAAUCCCUAUGUUGUCUCUCCUUUUCAUUAAGGAACUGAGAAGAGAGCCUGUUAAAAUGAGCACUUGCUGACAAGAGACCAAAGGAUAAUUAUAUGGAUCAAGAGACAAUUAAACAGUUAGAAAUAUUUUUAGGACAAAAUCCUAUGACUGUUUGGACAGAUAAAAAGUCAUAGUAUUCCCCAUAUUCCCACUGGGGAUUGUAGAACUUUCUUCUGUUUAAACAUGUGGGAUUGCACCCUUAGACACAAAAUUUUCAAGCACUAAAAGGUAUGUAAAGACCUUAUAGUACAACAGGUAAAAACUGCUGACUCACAACAUGAAACCUUAUUAUCUUUGAAUAAUCUAAACAGGAGAUUGCUGUUAGUGAUGUGUUUUUGUUUUCCUUUUUUAAGCUCAUGGAAGCUAAAUAGUUAUCAGUUGCUCUGGAACUAUACAAACAUCGGAAGACAAUAUGGACAUUACAGAGAAAAUCAUAUUAAUGAUAAGGAAAGGAAGAAAGUAAUGACAAAAUAAAAUGGAUAAAAUGGAGUAUGUAAAAUCAACUGCCUCAAAACAGGGUUUUCUCUUUUAAAAAAAAUGGUUAGUAAGAAUAUUUACACCACAAUAAAGAUUCCUUCACCAUCUCUCCAGAAGCAGUGCAUAUAUUGUACGUGGAGGGUCCUUGGUCCAAUCCCUGGCAUCGUAGGACCGGCAAGUUGUGACUGCUUUGAUGUUUUGGCUUUCAACUCCUAUCUGCCCCAACCAGAAGAGGUAUGAAGGGAACUGUAAGCCAGAGCAUCUGAAGGGCCAAAAGAAGCCCGCCUGAGGCAAACUGGUAAGGGACAGCACCUUCAUAGCUUGUCUUGCCAAGUGUACUGCACAGUGUUGCUCCAGUUUGCUUAGGCCGCAAGGAAGAAAAAGCCCAUGCGCCUUUGCCACAGCAGCCCUCCAGCACGGACCGUUGAAGAGCCCCUGGCAAGCAAGCCUUGCUGUGGUAUCUGAUGUGUGACAACCCGCUGGCUUCACGUGACUCACGCAGGCUGCUUCCCAGCCACUGACUGGCCAUGUCAUGCCAGAGGAUAUCCAUUUUAGCAGCAAAGAGAAACGGCAGAACGAAUUCUGUUUCAACACAAAUGUGGCAAGGUACCUGCCACGGGAGACAAGAGAUGAGAAGACUGCUGACAGAACACUGCCCCGCGCCUCUCAUAACUCUCUACCUUCAAAUGCCAAUGGAAAAGGAAAUCCUCCACAAAAAUAGCACUCCUGAAAGCACAACUCUGCCUGUAGGAAAGGUAUUCACCGUGCUUUCUAUCAAAAUUGGACCUUCUUCCACCACCACUUGUGCGAUUUGGUGACAGUAGGAGUGAGGUGCACCCCAAUCCCUGGAAGUCACCCAACUCUGUGUUAACGUAUAAGGUCACCAAGGUAUUUUAUUGAUUGAUUGAUUGACUGAUUGAUUGAUAUCCUGCCUUUUUCCUACAAA